UGGUUUUAUGCUUGCUUGCUUUUUCUCCAUUUUUUUGUGAACAACAAGAUGUAGGAAAAUAGGGAGGAUGUCAGAAUGUGAUUCCAGAUGGACAUGGCCUGGGCACCAGACUCUCUGUGUGUUAGAAAGAAGAUACAAGGAAAGAUACAAGGAAAGGGGAAAUAUCACAGACACGUGUUUGAGACUCAAAGCUCAUUUCCACACCUGAGUCACCUUUCUGUCCUUCCCUUCUGUUGUGAAAUGUUUAGAAUAUACUGCAAAUAUUUAAAGAAAAAAAGCCUGUGCAAACAGUUCAAAGCCUCUACUUUUAAAUUAACCAGUACAACAAACUAGGAGAGCAAAGGGCUGGUAAUGAAAGAAACAAGGAUUUCGUGUUUGACCUGACUGUCCUAGGAAGUCACUUCUAGGAAUACGAGACGGAAACUGCGCUUCAGACCGACGUAGCCCUCGCCUGCCUGCUUCGUUUAGCCAAAAGGAACGGGAUUGUGGCAAGUCUGGGCAGAUCAUGGGUUUUAUUGCACUGGUGUGCAUACUUGCAUGAAUCAGACUGAAAGGCUGUGCUUUAGAGACCAAUAAUCUGCAUCCUCAUCUGCAUCUCAUGAUCCAGUCUUCUGAAACUGCCUGCUUUUAUAACCGCUCUCUGCAGUUUAAGCUUCCACUUAAAAACAGGCUUCAGCACAGGUUAUUAUAAAUAAAGUGUUUCGAUGAAUCCAGAUCAGAGUCCUCCAGAUAAUCAGUGACCUUCCCUGAAACUGCGGAACCUUCACCCAAGACAAUCUUAAGAUCCAGGUGUGUUCAACGGGCCGCUUUUCUGUUCAGAGAGGUUGUGCAGCUUCACAUCAGGGUAACUUACUUGACUGGGGUAUUUCUUUUGCCAAGAUGCCAGAAUCUGGGAAGUUCAGCUUACAAGGGGAAUGCUGUUAGACAAAAGGCUUUCAGUUGUGGCAGAUAUUCAACGCCACCAGUGACAUCAGAUAUUUUGGAUAUACAUUCUGUGCGGCAGAGGGAAGGGCCUGGGUUGCUGCUGUGCGAUGCUUUACUGUGAUGCUGCAGCAGGGCUGCCCAGACCAGAUCCACUCACGAACACGAGCUGCCUUCGGUGAGAUUCAAAAAGAAAGAUUUUCCAGAUCUUAAAAUGCACUGUCACUGAGACAGCCUAUAUUAUUCCGUUUCAGCCUUGUGACUAUAAAGCUGCUGAAAAACAAAAAGUGUUAGAAAACAAGCGUUCCACCACCCCUGCCAUGGGCAGGGACACCUCCCACUGGAUCAGGGGCUCCAAGCCCCAUCCAACCUGGCCUGGAACCCCUCCAGGGAUGGGGCAGCCGUCACUGCUCUGGGCAACCUGGGCCAGGGCCUCACCACUCUCACAGAAAAACAUUUCUUCCUGAGAUCUCAUCUCCAUCUCCCUUCUUUCAGCAAAAACCCAUUCCCCCUCAUCCUGUCCCUGCACUCUUUCAUCCAGAGCCCCUCUUCAGCUUUCCAGAAGCCCCUUUCAGGACACCACCCUCACACCGUUAUUAUUCCUAAGAUCUCAUCUCAAUCUCCCCUCGUUCAGCUGAAAACCAUUCCCCCUUACCCUGUCCCUGCACUCCCUGAUCAAGAGCCCCUCCCCAGCUUUCCUGGAGCCCCUUUCAGUCGUGGAAGCUGCUCUAAGGUCUCCCUGCAGCCUUCUCUUCUCCAGGUUCAACAACCCCAACUGUCUCAGCCUGUCCUCCACCUCACUAAACAAAUCUGUUGCAAAACUAACUGGAUACACAUGCAAAAAUAAAGUUCCAGUAAAUUCUUGUUUUAUUUUUUUUACAUUCAGUCACAGGUAAGAGAGGCUGUUCAAUUCAAAACAGGGAUGUUCACACGCUCUCUUAUCCCAAAAUAACUAAAGGCCUAAACUUAACAAACUUGGAGGUUUUGGUUCCUAUUUCUGUGCCACAAGCCUGUAUUUUCCAAACCACAACUACUAAAAUCUGUAGGUUUCCACCUGUGUUGGGGCAUAUUGGGACAAUGAGAGUCGGUCCAAGAUGACGAAAUUACAGGGUUGUGUCGUAAUUGAAUGAAAAAUCCCUCGUCUUGGAAAGAUGUGGAUGCAAACUAAGCCUUCUGCACAACUGCAGAGCAAGCGCAAAGACUCAUUCUGCCUAAGAUUAGUGGGCUGCUAAACAAGCCGCUACAGCCCAUGGGAUCUCUCCCACGCUUCACUCUUUCAGAGCCUCAGGUAUCCACCUUCUUGUGGAGCCUUCCAGUUGUCUCCCUCUGCUGCAGGAUGUGCCCAUCCAGCUCCAGCCAAGCAGAGUCACCCCAGACGCCGAAGGAGACACGGGAAACUUCACCUGAAUGUAAGAAAACAGUUUUUUACUGCUAAGGGUGAGUGACCUCCGGAACAGACAGCCCAGAGAGGUCGUGGAGACAUUGAAAGUCUCAGGUAACUGGUGUUACUCACUGGCUUUGACAGGUUUUGACUCUGUGCCCUCCAGCAGUCUCUGCCAACCGCAGCGACUCCGCGCCUCUGUAAUACAGUGAAGCUCUUUUCCAUGCUGAUUAUUGCAGUUUCCCAGCUUUCACUACCACCUCUUGCCAACAGCCCAGUGGUUUCGUGCAGGCUGCGUGUCUCGCUGGAGGGCACGCAGUUUAGCAGAGCUAGAAAUGUACCCAAUAAACCCCAAUCCCCAGCCUUCUGCUGAACAGGCUAAAAAACAAACAGCGCUUCACCUUUCCACCCAGAGCUCUCCUCGCCUUGGGGAGGAUACGGUGCUGGCGACACACAAAGCUGCUUCCAGCACCUCCAUCCUGUGCGCACAGGUCAGCCUCCUGCGGGGCAAUCCAGCACCAUCGCAUCCCGAGGCACCACGUCUCACCUCGGCAUUGAACAGCACGGAGGAAGGAACGCAGAGACAUUCCACCCAGCCGGCAGCAGGUUAUGUUAGGUCAGCAAAAGAAAUCUUUAAAGGAGAUCACAGAACACAAUUUAAAAGUCUUUGCAUGUUAUAUUUUUAUUAUAUAGCUUAUAAUUGCCAUUAUAAUGAGAAGCACAGUCUUAAAAGAGUUGGAAGCGUGAGACUACAUGUUUCUAGAUGUAAAGACAUGUAACAGCACUAAAUUAACAUUCCACAACAGCUUUCGCUUCUCUGUUCUUUACACCAAAAUUGAAUAAAAAAAAAAGUCUCAAGUUUAAAACAUUUCAUUGGAAGUUCUAAGCAAAAAAAUAAACAUAGUUUUUAAUAAAUAAAAAUGCUUGCUCGCUUCCGUUGUGUUUUAUCAGCUUCACAUACUUUUUCAUAUAAAAUUUCAAGUGUCUACUCUUUUAAAAGUUUAUUGGCAAGAUUCAAAGAACAGUUUUUAAAGCCUCAGCACAGGUACUGUUUUAUAAAUAAAGGACAGGUUUUAUAAAUAGCUACUUACAGAAAACAGUAAAACAGACACACUAGGACUACAAUUUUGUCUGUAUCUGUGUGUUCCUAAGUGAUGUUUUAAAUUCCUGAAUCCAAUGUCUCCUAGAGGAGUAACAUAUUUACAUAUGCAAACACUUCUAUUUGGGAAAACGCUCAGCUCCCACAUUAUUUCACUUGCACUCAAACUGAAAAAUAUUUUGGUUCUUCAACAUAAAGCACCUUAUAGAAGAAUUUAAAAGAAGAUAAACAUUCAGUGAGCCAGCAUCACAGCUGGGGGCUGUGGUUGGACAACCUACCAUCGAUGAUCCGGACUCUGAAUUUCUAGAUCAGCUCUAUAAUUACUCAAACACGCUGUGUACUAAAUUCAAGUUCAAAAGACAACUCCAGGCAGAUUAUCCUAAAGAGGAAAACUGGAUUGAAUGGGACUGCCCGGGUCCGCGAGCCCAGAGCACUGCUCUUGCCGGCAGGACUUCAUGCAAGCCUCUUUCGGAAAGGUGAGAGUAAUUUGCUUUCCAUCCAGAGCAGCUCUAUAGAAGCUGUCUCAGAACGUAACAGCUGUUGUAGCAAUUCAAGCCUCGAUUUAUCACAACCACCUUACCCUCGUUCAUUCUGGGGCUAACGCUAGUCUUUAGCUUAGUUAUGUCCUCUUUCUGGAAACCGAUCCUUGAUUACAAGCUGCCAACCCAUUCCCUCUCAGCCAGCAUUUUACUUUUCCUUAUUCCCCCAUAAACAUCUCUGCACCUCAUUAAGUAUCCUGGUUUUGAAAAGUAGCCUUAUUUUGCUGUCACUGCAUCAAAUGCUGGGUUUCACAGAACACGGAAAAGCC